rnacentral:rRNA from 1 species
GACGAACGCUGGCGGCGUGCCUAACACAUGCAAGUCGAACGGAAAGGCCCUGCUUUUGUGCGGUUCUCGAGUGGCGAACGGGUGAGUAACACGUGAGUAACCCGUCCCUGACUUAAGGAUAACUUCAGGAAACUUGGGCUAAUACCGCAUAGGAGCUCCUGCUGCAUGGUGGGGGUUGGUAAGUUUCGGUGGUUGGGGAUGUGCUCGCGGCUUAUCAGCUUGUUCGUUGGGUAGUGGCUUACCAAGGCUAUGACCGGUAGCCGACCUGGGAGGGGCACCGGCCACGAUAGGACUGAGAUACGGCCCAGACGCGAACCGGACGCAACGGAGGAGAGUAGUGCACAGGGGGCGGAAGCCUGGUGCAACAACGCCGUGUGCGGUAAGAGGUGCUUCGGGUGGUGAACUAAUGUUGUCUUAGCCGAAGAGUUAGUGACGGUAACGGGUAAAGAAGCACCGGCUAACUACGUG